rnacentral:rRNA from 1 species
GGGGGGGGGGGGGGGGGGGGGGGGGGGGGGGGGGGCGGGGGGGGGGUGCGGGGCGGGGGGCGCACGGGGGCGUGACGCGUGGGGAGCUUCCGUUCGGUUCGGAAUAACUCCCCGAAAGGGGUUCUAAGACCGGAUAGUGUCCUCGGACCAAAGAUUUAUCGCCUUUGGAUGGGCCCGCGUUGGAUUAGCUAGUUGUUAUGGUAAAAGCCUACCAAUGCGACGACCCAUAGCUGGUCUGAGAGGAUGAUCAGCCACACUGGGACUGAGACACGGCCCAGAAUCCUACGGGAGGCAGCAGUGGGGAAUAGUGGACAAUGGGCGAAAGCCUGAUCCAGCAAUGCAGCGUGAGUGAUGAAGGCCUUAGGGUUGUAAAGCUCUUUUACCCGGGAUGAUAAUGACAGUACCGGGAGAAUAAGCUCCGGCUAACUCCGUG